CCAGAGAACUUAGCAGAGAUGCUUUGGUGCCUUCGGGAACUCUGAGACAGGUGCUGCAUGGCUGUCGUCAGCUCGUGUUGUGAAAUGUUGGGUUAAGUCCCGCAACGAGCGCAACCCUUAUCCUUUGUUGCCAGCGGUCCGGCCGGGAACUCAAAGGAGACUGCCAGUGAUAAACUGGAGGAAGGUGGGGAUGACGUCAAGUCAUCAUGGCCCUUACGAGUAGGGCUACACACGUGCUACAACGGCGCAUACAAAGAGAAGCGACCUCGCGAGAGCAAGCGGACCUCAUAAAGUGCGUCGUAGUCCGGAUUGGAGUCUGCAACUCGACUCCAUGAAGUCGGAAUCGCUAGUAAUCGUGGAUCAGAAUGCCACGGUGAAUACGUUCCCGGGCCUUGUACACACCGCCCGUCACACCAUGGGAGUGGGUUGCAAAAGAAGUAGGUAGCUUAACCUUCGGGAGGGCGCUUACCACUUUGUGAUUCAUGACUGGGGUGAAGUCGUAACAAGGUAAGCGUAGUGCU
rnacentral:rRNA from 1 species